UGGGGAAUUUUGGACAAUGGGCGAAAGCCUGAUCCAGCAAUGCCGCGUGUGUGAAGAAGGCCUUCGGGUUGUAAAGCACUUUUGUCCGGAAAGAAAUCCUUGGCUCUAGUACAGUCGGGGGAUGACGGUACCGGAAGAAUAAGCACCGGCUAACUACGUGCCAGCAGCCGCGGUAAUACGUAGGGUGCAAGCGUUAAUCGGAAUUACUGGGCGUAAAGCGUGCGCAGGCGGUUUGCUAAGACCGAUGUGAAAUCCCCGGGCUCAACCUGGGAACUGCAUUGGUGACUGGCAGGCUAGAGUAUGGCAGAGGGGGGUAGAAUUCCACGUGUAGCAGUGAAAUGCGUAGAGAUGUGGAGGAAUACCGAUGGCGAAGGCAGCCCCCUGGGCCAAUACUGGCGCUCAUGCACGAAAGCGUGGGGAGCAAACAGGAUUAGAUACCCUGGUAGUCCACGCCCUAAACGAUGUCAACUAGUUGUUGGGGAUUCAUUUCCUUAGUAACGUAGCUAACGCGUGAAGUUGACCGCCUGGGGAGUACGGUCGCAAGAUUAAAACUUAAAGGAA
rnacentral:rRNA from 1 species